UAGUAUUCUUGAUUUUUAAUUAUUAACUUAAGUAUUAAGUAGCUAUUGGCUAAAAACUUAAAGGAUUUGGCGGUGUUUUAGUCAAGUUAGAGGAACCUGUCCUUUAGUCGAUGAACCUCGAAGGAUCUUACUUCAUUUAGUCAGUUAUCAGUAUGUAUACCGCCAUUAUCAGGUAAGCCUAAUUAGGUUUAUUCUAGUAAAUACUUUCUAAAUCAGGAAGUGAAAAAAGUGAGAGUAUUUGAAAAAUUAGGUCAAGGUGCAGCUUAUAGUGAAGGUGAGAUGGGUUACAAUUUUGUAAGAAACUAUGGAUGGAUAGCGGGUUGAAAGGCCUUUUUUUGAAAUAGGAUUUAAUAGUAACAUUCAUUUAAUAUGGUACUGUGAUAGUA
rnacentral:rRNA from 1 species